AAUCAACGCUGGCGGCGUGCCUCAGACAUGCAAGUCGAACGAUUAAAGCUCUCUUCGGAGAGUGUAUAGAGUGGCGCACGGGUGAGUAACACGUAAGUAAUCUACCUUCGAGUGGGGAAUAACCCGGGGAAACCCGAGCUAAUACCGCAUAAUGCAGCGGCAUCGUAAUGAUGACAGUUGUUAAAGAUUUAUCGCUUGAAGAGGAGCUUGCGGCAGAUUAGCUAGUUGGUAAGGUAAUGGCGUUACCAAGGCUACGAUCUGUAACCGGUCUAAGAGGACGGUCGGUCACACUGACACUGAAUAACGGGUCAGACUCCUACGGGAGGCAGCAGUCGGGAAUUUUGGGCAAUGGGCGAAAGCCUGACCCAGCAACGCCGCGU
rnacentral:rRNA from 1 species